AGGUAUGAUACAAGGAUCCUCAAGUUCUGCGACACAAAUAUAUCUUGAUCUUGAUAUACCUGAAGUUCAAAAGUACCGCACCAGCUAUAAAUGGAAAUGCCCAACUCUACAAAAGCAUCUCCCUCAGGUCAAACAAGUAUCUCCACUUGAAGCAGCAGGCAAACUAUACACCAUUGAAGAAAUAUCUAACCUACCAAUGUCAUCUUUUCAGGGAGGAGCAACCUUCAGCACUAUCGCAAAAGUAGCAUCAAUUAUACCGUCAGUCAAAUGGUACUACAAAGCAUGCAAGCGUUGUGGAAAAGGAUAUAACAACAUGACAGAUACCCCAACAUGUGGCUGCCAAUUUCCAGUUCCAUGCCCAAUGUAUUAUAUAUCUUCUUAAAAUCUAAUACUUAAAUAAUUACUUUUUUAUCAUGUCACUAACAACUAUACCAUGCUUCAG